rnacentral:rRNA from 1 species
AUGAUGAUAAAUCUUUUAAUACUUAAUAUGACUAAUAACAACAUUACACAAAAAUGGAUCCAAUGGUUUAUUGGAUUCUUAGAUGCGGAAGGUAACUUCCAAGUCACACUUCGAGUCCGUAAAGAUACUAAUGGUAAUAUCAUUAGUUAUGGUAUUCUAGUAGCUAUUCAUAUCGAAUUAGCUGCUCGAGACUCGCUUCUAUUAUAUGAAAUUCAACAUAUGUUGGGUGGUAUUGGUAAAAUUUACCAUAGCCAAGACAAAGUACGGCUAGCCGUGACUAAGAAAGAGCAUAUUCGUAUGCUACUUGACUUAAUCUUCCCAGUAUACAGUCUAUUAACAGCAAAUCAAUUACAACGAUACUAUGUCUUAUCUAAAGUAUUGAGAGAAAAUAUUGUACGAGUAUACAGUCCUGAAGAAUUUAAUCUUCUUAAAACUACCGCAGUAGAAGCACCUAAUCUAUCUUUACCUGUACAUACACAUAAGAUUAAUUGGGUUGUAGGUUUUAUUAACGGAGAGGCUUCAUUUAUAUUAAUGCCUAAAGGUAAUGUGUUACAUUAUCUCGAACAUACAGAUGAAGCGAGAUUAAAUUUAGUCGCUACUACCAUAGGACUCAAGCUCGAGUACUUUCUCGAACUCUACGAGAAGGACGUAAACCAACUUGGCGUAUUACAACAAAUUGAUAUUGGUAAAGUAGUAUCGUUUUUAGAUAGUAAUGAACCGUUAAAAGGUUAUAAAUUAAUUCAAUAUACUGAAUGGAAGAGAAAAUGGCUAGCUAAAUCAGCAGAUAAAUAG